rnacentral:rRNA from 1 species
GAUGAACGCUGGCGGCGUGCCUAAUACAUGCAAGUCGAGCGAACGGACGAGAAGCUUGCUUCUCUGAUGUUAGCGGCUGACGGGUGAGUAACACGUGGAUAACCUACCUAUAAGACUGGGAUAACUUCGGGAAACCGGAGCUAAUACCGGAUAAUAUUUUGAACCGCAUGGUUCAAAAGUGAAAGACGGUCUUGCUGUCACUUAUAGAUGGAUCCGCGCUGCAUUAGCUAGUUGGUAAGGUAACGGCUUGCCAAGGCAACGAUGCAUAGCCGACCUGAGAGGGUGAUCGGCAACCCUGGAACUGAGACACGGUCCAGACUCCAACGGGAGGCAGCAGUAGGGAAUCUUGCGCAAUGGGCGAAAGCCUGACGGAGCAACGCCGCGUGAGUGAUGAAGGUCUUCGGAUCGUAAAACUCUGUUAUUAGGGAAGAACAUAUGUGUAAGUAACUGUGCACAUCUUGACGGUACCUAAUCAGAAAGCCACGGCUAACUACGUG